UACGUAGGGUGCAAGCGCUAAUCGGAAUUACUGGGCGUAAAGCGUGCGCAGGCGGUGAUGUAAGACAGAUGUGAAAUCCCCGGGCUCAACCUGGGAACUGCAUUUGUGACUGCAUCGCUGGAGUGCGGCAGAGGGGGAUGGAAUUCCGCGUGUAGCAGUGAAAUGCGUAGAUAUGCGGAGGAACACCGAUGGCGAAGGCAAUCCCCUGGGCCUGCACUGACGCUCAUGCACGAAAGCGUGGGGAGCAAACAGG
rnacentral:rRNA from 1 species